UACGUAGGGUGCAAGCGUUAAUCGGAAUUACUGGGCGUAAAGCGCGCGCAGGCGGUCUUCCAAGUCAGUGGUGAAAGCCCGGAGCUCAACUUCGGAACUGCCAUUGAAACUGUUAGACUUGAGGACGAGAGAGGUGAGUGGAAUUCCCAGUGUAGAGGUGAAAUUCGUAGAUAUUGGGAAGAACACCGGUGGCGAAGGCGGCUCACUGGCUCGUUUCUGACGCUCAGGCGCGACAGCGUGGGGAUCAAACAGG
rnacentral:rRNA from 1 species